rfam:Candidatus Rokubacteria bacterium GWA2_70_23 gwa2_scaffold_17956, whole genome shotgun sequence.
CAGUGGGAGGUAGUCUCACCGAGGCAAGAGUCAGGAGCCUCGUAGCUGGACGGCAGGGUGUAGGGAGACCGAACCCCUGAAGCCCGUCGACAAACCCAUCUUUGGGAUGGGAAGCGAGUCAUUGGGCCGUAACGAAA